AUUUGCCUCAACUAUCUGUAGGUAUCAACCAUUCAAGAAACAAUGAAGUCACAUCAAUAAAUAAGGUUGAUGGUCCUAAUGUAUCUCAUUACAAACCAUUAUCAAAAGGUUCCAAUCUUAAUGGGCAAUUAUCAAGCAAAAUUGUAAACGCCAAAUUCGAAAAAGCAAAUAAACUUUGGCAGGGUAAUGCAUCUAAUCAAAUAAGAGACAGUGUGAAUGGGACUGAUACCAAGGUGGUUACUGUCAAAGCAAAAAGUGUUAUCCUGGAGCAAGCAACUAUCGAAAGGGAAAAGAAUGCAGUUAAAUCGGUGGCAACUGAUUUUGUGAAUGGAAAUGAGGCUAAGAUUGUCAGUGAUAAAGGAACAGGUUUAGAUCAGAUUACCCUCCGUGAGAGGCUGGGUGCAAUGUAUGAAAAAGUGCAUAUAGUUGACAAUUUAUCUG
rnacentral:misc_RNA from 1 species